AUCAUUAUCUACUAUUCUUUGCGCAUGUGCGAUGUUAAGAGACGAGCUCACUGAAGAAAAAGUUUCCUGUAACAGUAUUCCUGAGAUGAUAGGACACCUGUUCAGUUCCUCCCCAGUGACGGGUUCUCAAGGGUGAGUGGGCAACUCUGGCGAAUUAGCGGAAACACAAGAGAAAAACAAGUGGAGCGUGUAAACUCACUGGCAGCGCUCAUGAAAGCGACAGUUCUUUUCUUCCAGUACUAUUGUGCUGGAAUGCUUUUGUGGAAUGGAGAAUCUCAUCACUGUGGGCCGAAUGUAGGAGUUGGCCUCGACUGGCUUGUAUUUAUCUAAAAAAACAGUUAUAUGAUUCACUCACUUUGAUCUCUACUGUAUUGGGAACUUGUGCAUCAGAGGAAUUCGCUUAGGCUGAAUUUAUCAUCGGAUGUAAACACAUUCUUUCCAAAAAAAGACAGUUAUCCAUUUAAUAAGGACAAUUAUGU
ensembl:lncRNA